GUCCAGACUCCUACGGGAGGCAGCAGUGGGGAAUAUUGGACAAUGGGGGAAACCCUGAUCCAGCGACGCCGCGUGAGUGAAGAAGUAUUUCGGUACGUAAAGCUCUAUCAGCAGGAAAGAAAAUGACGGUACCUGACUAAGAAGCCCCGGCUAACUACGUGCCAGCAGCCGCGGUAAUACGUAGGGGGCAAGCGUUAUCCGGAUUUACUGGGUGUAAAGGGAGCGUAGACGGCUGUGCAAGUCUGGAGUGAAAGGCGGGGGCCCAACCCCCGGACUGCUCUGGAAACUGUAUGGCUGGAGUGCAGGAGAGGUAAGCGGAAUUCCUAGUGUAGCGGUGAAAUGCGUAGAUAUUAGGAGGAACACCGGUGGCGAAGGCGGCCUGCUGGACGACAACUGACGCUGAGGCUCGAAAGCGUGGGGAGCAAACAGGAUUAGAUACCCCUGUA
rnacentral:rRNA from 1 species